rnacentral:rRNA from 1 species
ACCCUAGUGGCGGACGGGUGAGUAACGCGUGGGUAACCUGCCCCAUACCGGGGGAUAACACUUAGAAAUAGGUGCUAAUACCGCAUAAGCGCACGGUACUGCAUGGUACAGUGUGAAAAACUCCGGUGGUAUGGGAUGGACCCGCGUCUGAUUAGCUUGUUGGUGGGGUAAAGGCUUACCAAGGCAAUGAUGCGUAGCCGAACUGAGAGGUUGAUCGGCCACAUUGGGACUGAGACACGGCCCAAACUCCUACGGAAGGCAGCAG